CACGUAGUUAGCCGUGGCUUUCUGAUUAGGUACCGUCAAGACGUGCAUAGUUACUUACACAUUUGUUCUUCCCUAAUAACAGAGUUUUACGAUCCGAAGACCUUCAUCAUUCACGCGGCGUUGCUCCGUCAGGCUUUCGCCCAUUGCGGAAGAUUCCCUACUGCUGCCUCCCGCAGGAGUCUGGACCGUGUCUCAGUUCCAGUGUGGCCGAUCACCCUCUCAGGUCGGCUACGCAUCGUUGCCUUGGUAAGCCGUUACCUUACCAACUAGCUAAUGCGGCGCGGAUCCAUCUAUAAGUGACAGCAAAACCGUCUUUCACUAUUGAACCAUGCGGUUCAAUAUAUUAUCCGGUAUUAGCUCCGGUUUCCCGAAGUUAUCCCAGUCUUAUAGGUAGGUUAUCCACGUGUUACUCACCCGUCCGCCGCUAACGUCAGAGGAGCAAGCUCCUCGUCUGUUCGCUCGACUUGCAUGUAUUAGGCACGCCGCCAGCCGUUCAU
rnacentral:rRNA from 1 species